GCCGUCGUAUCCAAUUGCUAAUCCAGAAAUGCUUAUCAUCCAAAAAUCCAAAAUCUACCUUUCUCCUAGUUGUGACAACUCUCAUAGCCAUGAACAGUUGAGGAAGAGGGGGAGGAGAGUGGGAAGGAGCAGACGGUUCUUCAGAAGCCUCUUAUCGAUACUUCGCCCUUUUCUCGACUGACCGCAAGUCUCUCUGGCACUUUCUCCCAAUAGAUUCGGUCUUGGGUGCCAUGGGGUAGCUCGAAUUCACCAG
rnacentral:lncRNA from 1 species